UGGGGAAUAUUGCACAAUGGGCGCAAGCCUGAUGCAGCCAUGCCGCGUGUGUGAAGAAGGCCUUCGGGUUGUAAAGCACUUUCAGCGGGGAGGAAGGCGUUAAGGUUAAUAACCUUGGCGAUUGACGUUACCCGCAGAAGAAGCACCGGCUAACUCCGUGCCAGCAGCCGCGGUAAUACGGAGGGUGCAAGCGUUAAUCGGAAUUACUGGGCGUAAAGCGCACGCAGGCGGUCUGUCAAGUCGGAUGUGAAAUCCCCGGGCUCAACCUGGGAACUGCAUUCGAAACUGGCAGGCUAGAGUCUUGUAGAGGGGGGUAGAAUUCCAGGUGUAGCGGUGAAAUGCGUAGAGAUCUGGAGGAAUACCGGUGGCGAAGGCGGCCACCUGGACAAAGACUGACGCUAAGGUGCGAAAGCGUGGGGAGCAAACAGG
rnacentral:rRNA from 1 species